CAGUCGAACGAUGAAGCUCUAGCUUGCUAGAGUGGAUUAGUGGCGCACGGGUGAGUAAUGCAUAGAUAACAUGCCCUUUAGUCUAGGAUAGCCAUUGGAAACGAUGAUUAAUACUGGAUACUCCUUACGAGGGAAAGUUUUUCGCUAAAGGAUUGGUCUAUGUCCUAUCAGCUUGUUGGUGAGGUAAUGGCUCACCAAGGCUAUGACGGGUAUCCGGCCUGAGAGGGUGAACGGACACACUGGAACUGAGACACGGUCCAGACUCCUACGGGAGGCAGCAGUAGGGAAUAUUGCUCAAUGGGGGAAACCCUGAAGCAGCAACGCCGCGUGGAGGAUGAAGGUUUUCGGAUUGUAAACUCCUUUUGUUAGAGAAGAUAAUGACGGUAUCUAACGAAUAAGCACCGGCUAACUCCGUGCCAGCAGCCGCGGUAAUACGGAGGGUGCAAGCGUUACUCGGAAUCACUGGGCGUAAAGAGCGCGUAGGCGGGAUAGCAAGUCAGAUGUGAAAUCCUAUGGCUUAACCAUAGAACUGCAUUUGAAGCUGUUAUUCUAGAGUAUGGGAGAGGUAGGUGGAAUUCUUGGUGUAGGGGUAAAA
rnacentral:rRNA from 1 species